UACAGGGGGGCAAGCGUUGUUCGGAAUUACUGGGCGUAAAGGGCCAGUAGGCGGCCAACUAAGUCCGACGUGAAAUCCCCAGGCUUAACCUGGGAACUGCGUCGGAUACUGGAUGGCUUGAAUUCGGGAGAGGGAUGCAGAAUUCCAGGUGUAGCGGUGAAAUUCGUAGAUAUUGGGAAGAACACCGGUGGCGAAGGCGGCCAACUGGACCACAACUGACGCUGAGGCGCGAAAGCGUGGGGAGCAAACAGG
rnacentral:rRNA from 1 species